rnacentral:rRNA from 1 species
GAUGAACGCUGGCGGCGUGCCUAAUACAUGCAAGUCGAGCGAACAGACGAGGAGCUUGCUCCUCUGACGUUAGCGGCGGACGGGUGAGUAACACGUGGAUAACCUACCUAUAAGACUGGGAUAACUUCGGGAAACCGGAGCUAAUACCGGAUAAUAUAUUGAACCGCAUGGUUCAAUAGUGAAAGACGGAUUUGCUGUCACUUAUAGAUGGAUCCGCGCCGCAUUAGCUAGUUGGUAAGGUAACGGCUUACCAAGGCAACGAUGCGUAGCCGACCUGAGAGGGUGAUCGGCCACCCUGGAACUGAGACACGGUCCAGACUCCUACGGGAGGCAGCAGUAGGGAAUCUUCCGCAAAGGGCGAAAGCCUGACGGAGCAACGCCGCGUGAGUGAUGAAGGUCUUCGGAUCGUAAAACUCUGUUAUUAGGGAAGAACAAAUGUGUAAGUAACUAUGCACGUCUUGACGGUACCUAAUCAGAAAGCCACGGCUAACUACGUG